AGUGAACGCUGGCGGCAGGCCUAACACAUGCAAGUCGAACGGCAGCACAGCAGUAGCAAUACUGUGGGUGGCGAGUGGCGGACGGGUGAGGAAUACAUCGGAAUCUGCCUUAUCGUGGGGGAUAACGUAGGGAAACUUACGCUAAUACCGCAUACGACCUACGGGUGAAAGCGGAGGACCUUCGGGCUUCGCGCGAUAAGAUGAGCCGAUGUCGGAUUAGCUAGUUGGCGGGGUAAAGGCCCACCAAGGCGACGAUCCGUAGCUGGUCUGAGAGGAUGAUCACCCACACUGGAACUGAGAAACGGUCCAGACUCCUACGUGAGGCAGCAGUGGGGAAUAUUGGACAAUGGGCGCAAGCCUGAUCCAGCCAUGCCGCGUGGGUGAAGAAGGCCUUCGGGUUGUAAAGCCCUUUUGUCCGGAAAGAAAAGCACUGGGUUAAUACCCUGGUGUUCUGACGGUACCGGAAGAAUAGCACCGGCUAACUUCGUGCCAGCAGCCGCCGUAA
rnacentral:rRNA from 1 species